rnacentral:pre_miRNA from 1 species
CGGGGGAGGCCGGAUCCUGGGCUGUGUCCCGGCGCCCUGUGCUCCGGGGCCUGGGCUGUUGGAUUCGCGCUCUGGCCCUGCAGCCCCCU